rnacentral:lncRNA from 1 species
AUGGUGCGAGUGAGGGUGCGUCCGGGGGCCAGAGGGAGGCGGACCCGCCAGGCGGCAGGUGAAGCUGUCAGACUUCGGGUUCUGUGCCCAGGUGAGCAAAGAAGUGCCCUGGAGGAAGUUGCUGGUCGACAAACCCUACUGGAUGGCCCCAGAGCUCAUCUCCCGCCUUCCCUAUGGGCCAGAGGUGAGCCCCAGGGUGGCUUGGUUGUCCUGCUGUUGGCAGCUCUAGUCCAGCUGCAGUGCUGGCGGGAGGUGGGGCUCAGCCUGGGGAGUGGUUGCCAGGAAUGGUGCUCUGGAUGAGGAGGUACUGCAGGCAUGCAUAUGUUCAUGAAUUCAUUCAUUCUUUAUUUUCUUUCUUUUUGAAAUGGAGUCUUGCUCUGUUGCCCAGGCUGGAGUGCAGUGGUGUAAUCUCAGCUCACUGCAACCUCUGCCUCCCUGGUUUCAAGUGAUUCUCUUACCUCAGCCUCCUGAGUAGCUGGGAUUACAGGUGCCCACCACCAUGCCCAGCUAAUUUUUGUAUUUUUAGUAGAGACGGGGUUUCACCAUGUUGGCCAGGCUGGUCUCCAACUCCUGACCUCAGGUGAUCUUCCUGCCUUGGCCUCCCAAAGUGCUGGGAUUACAACCAUGAGCCACUGCUUCCAACCUUGGCUCUGAUUUCUGAGUGAUGUCUUCAGGCAGGCCGCUUUCCCUUUGUGGGAGCAGAGCCCACCCCAGCAGUUAUGGGAAAUGUCUCCUGCCUAUGGGCUCCCCUCUUUCCAUGGCUGUUUUGGGUAAAGUCCCCAGCUUGGCUCAUAAAGCCUGAGCAGGUGCACACUGCCUUGCUUUGACAGGAUAAAGCAAGAAGUGAGCCCACCCUGG